AGUUUCUAAAUAUGAUGUAAUUGUAAAUUUUAUUCCCUUUUUGAUUCAAGGGCCUCUUAGGAAAGGCCUCUUAAAUCCUUCAAUUGAUUUUUUAAAAAGUGUUUGUUUCUAAUUUUGUUAUUAAUUUUUAGCUUUAUUUCACUCUGAUCCAAAAAUCUACUCAUGUAGAUUCCACUUUUUGAAAUUUAAUGAGGUUAUCUUUGUGGCAUAAUAUAUAGUAAAUGUUGGUUAAAAUUCAGUGAUUAUUUAAAAAUAUGCAGUAUGCCAGCAAUAUAUUUUAAGGUUCAGCAUUUAAUACAUUUUUAAUAUUAAACUAAACAAUUACACUGUUAAUGUCCUCUAUGUCUUUCUUUAUUUUCUUCUUUAUUUUUCAAGGACUAGGAGGUACUUUGUGGUCUCCUUAUCACUAUUUCAUUUUUUUAUUUUUCUUGCCUUUUUUCUUAUCAGCUUGUGAACCUUGUGAAAUUUUAAAUUGAGCCACAUGAUUUUCAGAGCCUCUCAUAUUCAUUAUCCUACUAAUUUCCAGUUGUACAAAAAAAAAAUAAACAGCUAUGUAUAUCUCUGCUGUGUUACUUGAUGUAUAGAAGAUAUAGGAGUUAUAUCUAUCUUCAUUAUGGGCUCUCUGUAUAAUUUUUCUAGGAUGAAUAUAUUUAAUAAUUAAUAACUUAAACUUAACUUCUGCUUUCCUUCUUAUUCCCAUUUGCACCACACAUUUAGGCUGUUGAGUAUUUGUUUUUAAGUUUCAGCUUUUUAUUUACUUAAGCUUAAUUCAUAUGCAAGAAAAACAAGCAAUUAUGCAUUUAACACUUUGCUCAUGGGUUGCUGCGCUAUGUCUUUCAUCUUUAAACCAAUAUAUUCAAACAAACGUCUUCCACAUACAGAAAAAUUAAAUAGUUUGUUCAGAUACAGAAAUUCAAAGAUCAAUGUGGUAAUAUCUUACAUAAUAGAGAUAUUACUGAUUAUUGUUUGAUGUUAAUACUCAGACAUUAUGAAUAAUUUGUAUAUGCUUUUCAAUCCCAGUGCUGAAAGUCUAAAGAUCUGUGUAGUUUUAGAAUCAUCAGUCAUUCUAGUGACUUUCCAACUAAAAAUAUGGGGACAAGUCACCUUAAAAAGAGAAUACCGAGUAUCAGUCUCUACCACUUUUGAUAAAGUGUUCACUCUAGAAUUUAUGAAUUCACAACACAAUGUUACACACACACACACACACAACCCUCAACAAUUUCUAAUCUUUCACAGUACAUUAACCAAGUUAUUAGGAUAAACUACCCUAUAAUUACCAAAGAUGUCACACAUGGCAUACCCACAAUUUGAAGAAGACAGCCUAGAUCAGGGACCAUUCUAACAAAAAACAACAUGAGUAUAGAAGAUACAAAAUUUAAAAUAUCAGCCAUUUUAAGUGCUUGAUUAUGACUCCAAAUUGCCAUUUCACUCUGCUUCAUAGUCACAACAUAAAAAAUGCACAGCCCUCCCAGCACCAUCAGCCUGUGGAUUGUUAUAUUGACUGACAAAAGAGUCAAAGCCUCCCUUAAUUGUGUACCCCAUUACUUUUAGUUGUACCUCAAAAUGAACAGUACACAUCAUUUUGGUUCUUAAAUAUAGCACUUGCAAUUCUGUAAUAUCUGUCUGGAAAUGUGUUGUUUCCAAUAUAUUUUGGGCUUAGUGUGAACAUUUGCAGGUACAGAUUUGGCAAGCAACCUUACUCUUGGACUCCUUUGUGGCUCCUUCCACUAAAUCGACCUCCCUCUCGGGCACUGAGGUCUUUUGCUGGUGGUUGCAGAAGAAAGGCAGGAACCAGGUGCCUGGUUGGGACCUAUCUUUCUACUCUUAUCCUUUGGAAUAACUUUAAUUUAAUUUCAUUGUAUUUGUUUGAUUACAGCACAUAGUUAAAUUUAGGUUUUCGGUCAAAUCUUAGUUCUUUUCUUUCAACAGGUAAAUAUGUUCUAGUUACACAUUUUUUGUCAAAAUAAUAUGUGUGGUCUUCUAUCUCUUUAUUAUGUUUUAAAUAUUUCCUCUAGAUCUUUAUUUUUGCUUAAUUUUCCUAUUUUGUAAUAUAAUUUCAGUGUUCUUUUUCUCCCCAGGACACUGGAAACUAUUUUUAAAGCUAUUGGAAGUAUUUUUUAAGUUAUUAAACACUCUUAAAUUUUACUUUUGGUUCCUCAGGAAGUUAUUAGGUUACUAAAAAUUAAAUCUCUGUAGCCCCAAUUUUUCAUUGUUAAUCUGCUGUCACUAUUAAACAUUUUCUUAAGACUAUAUAAUUUAAGUUUUUCAAAAGUUACUUAUGUUUCUUGAAAUAAAUGGCAUUCAAAAUUAUGCUACUAAUUCUUCCAUGUUAUGUUCAGGUUACUAUUUAUGGUGCAGAAUUAUUUUAAAUGUACCCUAUUUACUCAUUUACUUUGGAUUGCUUAUAUCCUUGCUUUUAGUCUUGUUACUUGCCUAAAAUUAGUGUGAAUAGCUUCUGUUUGGCUUUUUCACUGUUUACUUGAAAGCUAUUAAAGUCUUCUUAGAGCUUGAGCUGGAGAGCUCAGUGAAGCAGGUAAGUAUUAAAACUGACCUUUUUAGAAGGGCGAGUAGGAAGGGAGAGAACUGAGGUUGCAGGCAGUCCUAACUAGGAUCUUCACCUCUGCUUGGUUCUCUGGGUUUGUUGGGCCUGCAGGAUCAGGGACCUGUAUUCCACAUGGGGCUUCCACUGGAAGAAAACCAUUGGCUGUGUCAAGCUCCUGCUCUUCAGCUUCUGCGGGCCGUGAUGCGGAAGUGUUCUGUCUCAUUUCAUCGUACCUGGCUGCCAGACCAAGGAAGUUAUAGGAGCCCAUGUUUAUGACAUCUUUGAUGAUUCUUCCAGUGAACCUGCAGCGAGGACAGGAAUUAUUGAGAAAAAUCAGAGAAGUGAAAAUAUGAACAAAAAGUCAAGAGAUAUGAAGGACAAAUUCAGAAGAUCUAAUAGGACUUACAAGAUUGAAGAAAGAAGAGGAAGAAAAGGUGAAGGAGAAGUAGGUGGAGAAGGAGGAGAAAAAUUCCUAAGAGGAAGAAAAUGUAAUGAUCUACUAGGAAAGAAUGGAACAAGUAAGUAAAAACCAAAAUCAUUAUAAAUCCUGUAAAACUUCAGAUCUUUAAGGAUUAAGGGGAAAAUCUCAAAAGUAUUCAGAAAAGGGGGAAAGGCAGUUUAUAUACAAUGGAACAAGAAUUAGAUAGCUUCAGACUUUACUUAGGUAGAAGUUAUGGGAAACAUUUGAGGGAAAGUUAUUUUAAACUUAAAAUCUUAUACUCAUCUAAGCCAGCAAUCAAAUGAGAAGUCAAAUAAAAAUGUUCAAUAUCUAAAAGAAGUCAUGAGUUUAAUUCCCACAGGACUCUUCUAUAAUAAUUGAGUGUGCAGCUCAACAAAAUAAACAAUGAAACAACUAAGGAGGAAGACAAGAGAUGCCAGGAAAAAUAGUGAGUGAAGGCACUGAUGGAAUGUUGGUUAGCCCGAGGAGUUUUAUUUAUGUAGUAUGAAGAAACAGAAACUAAAAAUUAAUAAGUAAAUGACAACCUGGAGAAUGGGUGUCUGGGAAAAGAAGAAUGGGUGUCUGAAAGUUUAUUAAAUUUUUCUUCUGGUAGGGGGAGACUCUAGUUACUGAAUAAUGAUAUCUAGAUUCUAAAUAUAUGUAUUAAAUAUUCAAAGAGACCCAUUAAAAAUAGCUGGGGAAAUAUUAUGUAGAACUUCCUAGCAGUGAUAAGGAGAAAAAUCCAGAAAAAGAAAACUAAAUUAAAGGUACCAAAGGUACAAAAGAAGAAAUAGUUAAAAUUAAAAAUGAAUAAACAACAGAAAAUGUGAAUGUCAAAUAUAGAUAGCAGGAAUAAGUUGAAACACAUGAGUGAUUAAAAUAUUAGGUUUAACUAUAGGGAGUUGCCAAUGUUUGACGUUUUGGCCUAUACAAACAUCAAUUUCAUAUGGUUUAAGUAAGUAAUUGUUUGUAAAUUAUAUUAUCUUAUUAAAAUACAAAAACUUUCACAUUUUUUGACAAACCUAUAUAUUGUUUAUAUGACACACACAUUUUCUGAAAACAAUGAAGGGUAAAAAUGAAGAGAUAGCUGUUGACAAAAAAGCAGAUGUACCUGUCAGACAAAAUAAAUUACAAAAUAAAAGCACAAUAAAAGAAAAAAUCCACCAAGAACUGUAAGAGCCAUGGACUUUUAAGUAUGUGACAGUUAAAUUGGAAUACAUAAGAAAAAAACCUAACAAAUAUAUAGUCACA